rnacentral:lncRNA from 10 species
AAUUUCAGAGAAAAGGAAGAGAUACCAGUGGAACUCCUAAGUGACCAGGAACAGACGAUUUUUAACCGAGUUCUGCUGCGUGGAGCCCAGGUUGGCGCUAGUGAGUGCAGUGUGCUGACCCAAGUGGUGGUGGCCCAAGGACGCGCUGACCCGUACAUUUGGCAAAGCUUUCAUUAAAUGUAUCAGAUUCUCGCGGAAGUGGUUGCAGUCCGGAGAGUGAAACAGCUAUCUCUCAAGUCCUGACCGGUUCAGCUGAAAUCUACAUUUGCACUGAAUCUGGCAAAACACGGACGGGUCCGCCCGAGAUCUCAGGAAACCCAGAGCAAGUUACCUCCAUGUAGUUGAUCAUUCUUUCUGAAAGGACGGACACCAUUUACCCCACUGCAAUCCUGUCCAACGGGCAGCUCUGAGUUUAGCUUUAGCGCCAAAGGAUUGAUUUCCCCCACCCGCUGGAGAUUUACUGGGGACGAGCGGGGGAGGGGAGGCGAAGGUACCUCGGAGGAGGUCAAGUGGGGGAGGAGGAGGAGCAGCA